rnacentral:lncRNA from 1 species
GCAGCUCGAGCAACUGGCAAAAGAAAAAGAAGAAAAGAGGAAACAGGAGGAAGAGAUGCAGAGACAGAAGGAAGAAAACAUGAUGAAGAAGAGCAAAAAAGGGGGAAAAAAGGACAGUAAAGAUUCAAUACGAAAGAAAAACUUUGAAGCAGCACAUUCUGCAGUAAGUGUGCAAAGGAUGUCCUCCUGCAGCAACUCUAAAGAGUCAUUUACGGAUGCAAGAGAGCGACAUUCAAGUGAAGGUGGGAAUUACUUAAAUAUUAAUGUAUAUUUUCCAAGCAUAAAAUAUGAGGGUAAAUCUUUAUAUACUUUAGCAGUGACAUAUGGUUACAUCUGAUAUUUUUCUGGUCUAUGCAGAGCAUCAAAACAAAGAUCCACAUGAUUUAUCAAAGGGGCUGGAAGAUAUGAAACGUUUACAGACUCCUAAAUCCACUGACAGACUGGAGACAGAAAAAAUUUCAGACACAAAGACAAAAGAAGAAGACAAAGACUUGGACCAAAUCACAGAGGAAGCAGAGAAAGCGCAAACAGAACAAGGAGAGGCCAAUAGAACAGAGGUCUGUGCACAAACAUCUGCAACGUGGUUUUAGAUAAAAAACAUAUUCUUUGACAGUGAAAUGUAAGUUUUUCAUUUCAAAAUCUGAGAUGAUCUUGUGACCUUUGAAACACUUCAUAGGAACGUCUGAUGGAAAAAGAACAACUGACCAUAAAUGAAGGGUUACACUUUUUGUGUGAAGAUGAUGAUGCUGAGGAUUCACAUAUGACAACAGAAGAGAGCAAAACUGAGACUUCUCAACAUUUACCAAAGCCAGAGGAAGAAAAGCAUGUUGAAGAUGAGCUACAGUGUCAGUUCAACAAAUAUGAGCUGAGCCAGGUUGAAGUUGGACAUAUUCUGCAGCACUGGGACCGAGCCAGGGGCCUGUUGCUGGCUCCUCUUCACCCAGGUCAAACCCAUCCAUGGUUGGAUGAGUUUUCAACAGGAAAACAGCUCCCUGCUGUCCUUAAGAAGAGUAGGAAAGGAGCCCUCAAGAACCUUUCUCCAGUGCCGACUCAGAGAGCAGCAUCAGCUGAAGCUGACUACAAGUCGCCCUCACUCGCCAUUCCUCAAAUUGUCUUGAAAAUAAUGGAGGGCGAUGGAGAAAGUACCUCAGAACAGCUCAUCAGCACCCUCCCUCUACCUGAUGAGGUACUGCAAACAUUAUUUACACCUGGCUUGAUGCUUACACUCAGUUUUAUUUUUGCUAAACACUGUUUUACUUUCUUUAGGUGUUAGAUGAUUUAGGACCAGGUGGACCCCCGAUACGUCCUGCCACUAUGUUCUCUGUUGUUCCUUUCCCCACAUACAGAGACCAAACCAAGGUUCAACAGACAUGCUUCCGAUUCCUUCUUCCCCCAAUCCCAGAUGAAGAAGAAGAGAGCAAAGAUGUAGAGGACGAAACAAAAUUAUCUGUAAAGGUUGUUUUCAUUUUCCACCAAAAACAUAUCGUAACAUUUGAUAAACACACAUUGAGAACCAAAUUAUUCUGUUGACUGUUUUGUGCUCUUUUAGGAGGUGUCAACAGCCUCCAAAAUUUUCAAAAGAAGCAGUUUCAAAGAGAGCGCAGUGCCAAAGGACAGAGAUAAAAAGGUCAAAGAGGUCCAUAAGAGCAAAAGAAUAAAUUCCAGCAAGACUAGAGAAAAGAGCUUGGAUGAGACAAGAGAAGAAAGAAGGCAAGAGCAGCUCACAUACUACAAAACUUCAACUGUUGUGCUUUUGUUCAAGUGUAUUGAUUGUCUGCACUCUUUGUCUAGCCUGAGCACAUUUCGAUGGGUUGUUCCAGCUGGCGGGGAGGUAGGUCUAAAGGUCUGGUUCUACUCAGAAACACCUGGAAAGUUUGAGCAGACCUUCAACUUUGAGCUUGUGGGAACCCGGAAACUCUACCAGCUGACCUGCAGAGGACUCUGCAGCUACCCUUCAAUCUGCAAAGACUACAUGUGAGUCUACUUCGUUUGACCGAACUCCACCGCUGAAGAAAUAGAAUCCUAAAAUUAUAAUUUUUACACAUUAAGAAAAAACAACUAUAAGAAGUUGUUCUGAUUGUGCCUCUUUUUCCCCUUUUAUACCAUGAAUU